UUGUAAACCUGGAGCUCAAUGUUGGGUUUUUUGUCAAUAACUUCAGACCCUCCAAUGACGUAGUUUGUAGGCGGGGCCUUAGACUGGGUGUCCAGGCAUCCAUACCACGUGACCAGGUAGAUACCGUUAAAGUCUGGAUUGUCCUGUGGGGCUUCCGUGGACAGUUUCCCGAGGAUAUGUGGGAAGAUGGCGGCACCCGCCUUCCGGGAUCAGAAAAUGACCUGUGGUGGAAAAGUCUGGGACUGGUCAGCAUGGGAGCCUGUACCAUGACUAGUGUGGAACUGGAACUAACUGUCCACAGCAUCCAGCCAGGUAAGAACAACCGUCUCUUGUGUGAGGUGACAGGUGUUGGGUAGAGGGCAGCACCAAUCUGGUCUCACCUGUACCAUCAUUUAGGAAGGUGUUGAAGCCAAUGUCCUCGGUCUCCAGGCAAGGAAUUGCCAUUGGUGUUAAGGUCUGUCCAUGGGUGCUGCUUAUUGACGUCAUGAUUGAGACUCUCCUAGAUAUUGACAUCUUUUUCCAGGCAUUAGUGGUGUUCCUCUGCUCACUGUCAGUGUCCCAUUACAGCAAGCUUGAAUUUAUUUGAAUGUUAUGGUUUCCAAAACCAUAACAGAACUUGGCAUUUUAUCUUCAAAGUCUUGAUGUUUUGAUCCUAUUUGGAAUCUUUUGCACUAACAGGCAAUAGCAGGAUGAACUCGAGAGGAUGGUCAAAAGUCAACUCCAGGAAUGGAGGGAAUGUGGGAUGCUGCUCAGAUGCCUUUUAACUUCUGGUUCAAAAAUGGAUUUGAAGGGCCAGCAAGCUUCCUCAGGGGUGUCUGCGGAAUCUCUAUGGAAACCUGACCUCAUCAAUCAUGCUGUGAAGCAAGAGGCAGCCCAGGAUUUCAGGCUUUUCCGUCUCCUGAGCAACUUUCUGUUCUGGCCAACUCAGACUCUGCGCAUGGAGGCUGCCAGGCCUCAGGCCUCAGUGCUCAUCAGGACCCUUUGCCAUUUGUCAAUGGUGCAGUCUGGAGGGGGCCUGCUAACUGGCAGUGCCAGACAGUACUCUCUCUUUCUUGGCCUAUGUAAAGUCAUUUCUUUUGUGUGUGGUGAUUUAUUCAUUGAAAUGCUGGUGAAGACAUUGGACAGUGUGACAGAGGGAAUUAACAUGCUAAUUGGAAGUAUGCACUAUCCUAAGAUGUUCCUAUGGUGACUUUGAACCUUUAGUCUGAAUGGGUCCUUUUGGGUCCUGGAGUUUUCUAUUGGCACACGUUUCUUGGAGAAGGUGGCAUCACACAACCUGAAGUUCGCUCACCUUAGGUCAAAUUCCAUAUUUGUUUGGGAAGAGACCCUAAAGUGUCUAUAUUUUACUCAGUACGUUGUCAUUCAUAAACUUUUGACUAGUCACUGUCAUUGGUUAACUUACUUUUAAUCCUUGGACGAUGAGAGUCAUUUUUAUUUUCCUCCCAAUGUAAAAUUGAGGCCUGAAAUCCAUGGAAAAACUUUACCCCAACCCAUGUAAGGAUGGCUUAUUUCUUAGUCAAAAGCCCUUGUGAAACUUGAGGUAACUGUGAUGCUUCCUCCCUGUUACACUUGAACAUGUUGUGCCGUCUGCCUCUGCAAUGUCACCGCCAUCUUUGGUCUUCUUGUUUUUUGUGAGUGGGGAAGACUUCGGGGAAGACUGAAAUGCGUGCCUUGGGGCAUAGGUACACUAAGUAAUAGCAUGGAAGCAGCAUACUCAAGGUAGAGGAUGCCAAAAGGGUGUCUCCCUAAUUGCUGGAAGUCCCACGGUUCCAAGUCCUCGAUGAAAGAGAAGGUGGACCUCCUCAGAAUUUAAGUUGAGACCUGGUUCCCUGGACCUUUCCCAGGAGUUCAUUCCUAGGACAGCCUUGUCACUUAGUUUUUUCUGGUAUGUAUUCAUUGAGUAUCUACUCACUAGUGGUAAUGUUCUGUAAAUUCUUGGUGUGCAGUAUUUCAUAUCACACUCCAAUUUGACUCA